GGCUCUGAGCUGUCAGCACAGAGCCCAACGUGGAACUUGAAGUCACAAACCAUGAGAUUGUGACCUGAGCUGAAGGUGGACGCUUAACCAACUGAGCCACCCAGGCACCCGUCUUCAAGCCUUCUAAAGUGAAUGAAUAUCAACCUUUGAUUGGUAUAAUUUCCAAAUAGACAAGAAUUGCAUUCUAAGAAAUCUCAGAUGAAUGGAGGAAUAGGAAAUAAUGCAUUGUGUCCAUGGAAGUUUAUAUAGAAGAAAAUGAAGAUAGAGACCUUAAGGUAGAUAUUCCAAGCUUUUUGGAAUUGCAUUGUCCAGAAAUUGUAAAAAUACCUUUUGUUUGGUAUUAUAACAAAUAUUUCCCAGCCUCCUGAAUAGGUCACUUGGCAUAGAUAAUUAGUUUUUUGGGGGGUUUCAUUGUUUGUUUACUUGUUCUGUUUUAUUUUGCUUUGAGAUUUGGUGGUGAUUCUGGAGAUAACAAGACAUCUUGAGAUGUUCCUAACCAGAUGUACAAAUAUGAAAAUCACUUCACUGUGGUGUCUUAUAAGGCUGCUUCCUUUUCCAGUUCUGAUUCAAAUACCAUCAAAAAGUUACAUUGGCCUGGCCAGUAGAUGCAGUACAGGUUGUUUCAGAAGGCUUCACAGAAUAUGUGUUAGACAUUUUAAUUAAUUUGCACUGUGAGGUUAUGAAAUCCAAGGCUUAUGUCUAACUAGGUCAUGUUGCAUUUUCAUUUCUUAGCACACUACAUGGCCAGAAUAUGUGUUUGGUAAAUAUUUUUUUAAAUGAGUCACUGCUACUAUUUAAUUACCUAUCGAUUUCAUCUGUAGUAUGUGAGAACUCAAGAGGUUUGGGGUAUACACUAACCAUAAGGAAGACAAAUGCAAGCUACUCAGGAGGAGGAGGAGUCAAAUUUGCAAGGUUUAUGCUAUACCUAAGCCAGCUACAUUAUGAUGGGUAGCCCUUAUUUUACCAUUUUUAGAUCAGUGCUUGUCAUCAUCUUAGAACUAAAUCUACACAAGCCUCCACAUUUGGUAAAUGGAUAGAUAUAUUACUAUUCACUACAUCGUUCCAUAAUCCAUAUAGUAUGAGAAACUAUAUUCACACAGAUGCUUGUAAUUUUGUAGUUAAAAGGAUGAAAGGUGAAGUUUUAAACAAAUUUUAGGUAGCGUACUUAGUAUACAAUUCAAAUUUCAAAAAUAGCAGGCUGUUGUUGAAACAAAUUUCUAGGCCCAAGAUGGUCCCCCUUCUGCUUCUGUCCAGAGUGCCAUGUGAGCAAACUGAAACUGAACUUCUGUACCCCUAUAAAUGCUCUGCUUGACCAGGAAUGCAGUACAUCCAGCCCAUCAAUCCCUAAAUGCCAAGCCAACUCUACAUAUUCUCACCCUAAACAAGGUUGAAUAUAUGGCCCCAGCCAAUCAAAUAUUUUCCAUUUUUCUCUUCCUUGUUGGUCAUUCUUCUCUUGUAAAAGUUUUCUGCCUUCCAUCCCUUUUUGCAGUUCUCUGAAAUUAGUCUGCCUUACCAAGUGUUCAAUAGUUUGUAUCACCUAAAUUGUCUUUAAUCAUUUUUAACACUGUCAAAAUAGUAAGAAGCACUAAAUUAUCAUGUGUAUGUGAGAUCUCAAAAUCAAGAGAUUAUUAUAUAAACUAAUCACUAAUAUAUGCUUUAUGAAUUUUCUAAAUAGUAACCAUGUAUUAGUAUGUAUAUAUUGUUAUUAGUUAAUAUAUAGGCAAUAAAACCACUGCAAGGCUCUAUCCACCAGUAUUCCCCAAAUAAUAAAUAUCCUAAACACAGGAACACAACUCUCUGGACUUUAGAGUCAAGCCUUGUCUCCAAUAAUAUCCCCAAACUACCACUUCCUCUGUGAGGGAAAGGUGAACUGAUUCCUUCUUUUGGCAUAUUGAAGGAGUCAACAAAAUGUCCAUUGCUUUCUUCUCUGUGCUGUUUGGGCCCUUCUUAUCAUUAUCCCACCUCAUUGUCCCAUUUACUCACCUCAUUGUCCCAUUUUACUUCCUCUACAUUCUCUAGCCUGACCUUGACCCUUUUUGACCCCAUUUUUCUACACAUCCACAAAGGCACAAGUAAAAUCCUCCCCCCUACCUCCUUUAUGUUAGUUACAACUAUAGGUGAACUAAGUAUUAACUAGAAUGGAAGGAAAUUAUUACUAAUUAUUUGCUAAUAUUAUAUUAAGGAUAUUUGUGUUUAUAUUCAUAAAUUAUAUUGGCCUUUAAUUUUCAGAUUUUAUAAUAUCUUUGUCUGGUUUCAGUAUCAGAGUAAUACCAGCCUCAUAAAAUGUGUUGGAAAAUAUUACCUACUUUUCUGUGUUCUGAAAGAUUUUGUGUAUGGUUGGUGUUCUUUCGUCCCUAAGUGUUUGACAGAAUUCAUCUCUAAAGCUCUCUAAGCCUGGAGUUUCUUUGUAAAAGGUUGUUAAUUAACUUUUGGGGAGAUCUAAAGCUAUUCAGACUCUUGAAAUUUGUUGUUAUAUCAAGGAGUUUGGAAUUUCAAAGAGUUUGUACAUUCUGUUUGUUAUUGAAUUUAUUGACAUGAAAUUGUUCAUAAUAUUUUUUUACUGUCCUAUUAAUAUCUUUAGGGUCUAUGAUGGUGUUCCCUCUCUCAUUGUUUAUGUUAAUAAUUUGUGGCUUCUUUAUUUUUUCUUUUGUAUCUAUGGAUUUAUCAGUUUUAUUGAUCUUUCCAAACUAUAGCUUUUCACUUGAUAUAUUUUUUAUAUUGUUUGACUAAUUUCUGUUUCACUGAGUUUCAUUCUUAUCUUUAUUAUCUUCUUUUUUACGUUUAGCUUGGGUUUAAUUUGCCCUAUUUUGUAGCUCCUUAGACUGAAACUUAGACCACUGAUUUUGUCCAAAAAAAUUUUGAGAGGAAGAGCUGUGUGACUCCUCUGGCAGAACCACUGCAUAUAUGCUAUGACUGCAUUCCCUUUUCCCCUCUGCUAAUGAGAUUGGCAGUGAUCCAUGCUGGAGAAUAGAACAUUAGCCAGUCCUCAAUUGACAUGAAUGGGAGGGAGAAGUAACCUUUAUUGUCAAAAGAUUUGGUUGUUGUCGGUAACCACUGGGAUAAUCUAAUCCAGAGUUUCUCAAUGUCAAUAAUGGGAUAUUGAUAUGAUAUGAUAUUAAUAAUUCUCCAUGUUAAUAAUGGGAUAGUAUAAUUCUUUGAUGUUAGGGGCUGUCCAGUGAAUUGAAGGAUUUUUUUUUUAUUAGCGUCCCUGAUCUCUACCCACUUCAUGCCAGAAGUACCCUCUUUCCCAUUGUGACAAACAUAAUGGUCUCCAGACAUUGUCAAACGUCUUCUAGAAGGCAAAACUCCCUCCCCGCCCCAGCUGAGAGCCACUUGGCUGAUUCAUGUACAACUACACAUAUAGAAGUAACAAAGUAAAAAUGGAGCUCUAUGUCGCACUAUACACUAAAAUCAAUUCUAGUGGAUUGAAGGCAUACAGAUGAGAGACAAAGCUAUUAAACAGCAGAUAAUAUGUAAAAUAUCUUUAUUUCUUCAGGUAUGAGAAUAUUUCCUUAGAAAGACAUGAAAAACGUAAUAAAAUAAACAAUUAAUAAAUUUGCCUAUAUUUAAAAAUGUUCAUGAAAACACACCUUAAAGAGAGUGAAAACAUCAGCCACAGAGUUUGAGAAAAUAUUUGCAACACAUAAAACCAAUAAAUAAUUAAUAUUCAGAAU